rnacentral:snRNA from 1 species
GGAUAUGAGGGCAACCUGUCACCCUAUUGAAUGCCAGGUUUGGUUGGGCUGAUGUGGCUGGAUAUGGGGGUAUCCUCUUUCUCCCUCACCACCCUGUGCACAUUGCUCCCAAUGCCGCAUGCCUGAUGGAAAAUUAGAGCCUUCCCCAAACAGAGGUGGGCCAGUCUUUUAUCAAGGGUAUAUAAGUAGCUCUGCUUCCCUGAUAAAACCUCCAAGCAGGCUCUCAAGGUUAAAACGUUUUGUAAAAGAUGAUAACUAAAACUAUGAUAGAAACACCACACAGAAUCAUCAUUAGCUAUCCAAUGUUGUCU